rnacentral:rRNA from 1 species
AGAGGAAGUAAAAGUCGUAACAAGGUUUCCGUAGGUGAACCUGCGGAAGGAUCAUUAAUGAAACUUCAAAGUCGGCCAAAGGUUGUUGCUGGUGAUUAUUCACAUGUGCACGCCUUUGGUCGCAAAUCCACACACACCUGUGCAUCUAUGACUCGAGGUUGUAAUGACUGAGAGUAACUUUUAUACACUCUUGUAUGUAAUGGAAUGUCUUUUUGUGCUAUAAUGUACAAUAUAAACAACUUUCAACAACGGAUCUCUUGGCUCUCGCAUCGAUGAAGAACGCAGCGAAAUGCGAUAAGUAAUGUGAAUUGCAGAAUUCAGUGAAUCAUCGAAUCUUUGAACGCACCUUGCACCCUUUGGUAUUCCGAAGGGUACGCCCGUUUGAGUGUCAUUGUAAUCUCACUUCUACAACUUUAUUGUUGUUUGAAUGUGGACUUGGAUGUUGCCGUUUUAUCACGGCUUGUCUUAAAUGCCUGAGUGUACCCUGUUUUGCAGCGUAUCCAGUGUAAUAAACAUUUCACUAGAGUUGGUCGAAAGACCGCGUUGACUAUAUGGGCUCUAUGCUUCAAACCGUCUGCCAUGUGGACAAUUUCUUGACAAUUUGACCUCAAAUCGGGUGGGACUACCCGCUGAACUUAAGCAUAUCAAUAAGCGGAGGAAAAGAAACUAACAAGGAUUCCCCUAGUAACGGCGAGUGAAGAGGGAAAAGCUCAAAUUUUAAAUCUGGUGUCUUUGACUCCCGAGUUGUAAUCUAGAGAAGUGUUUUCCGUGUCGGACCGUGUACAAGUUCCCUGGAACGGGGCGUCAUAGAGGGUGAGAAUCCCGUAUAUGCCACGGACUACCGAUGCUCUGUGAUACACUCUCAACGAGUCGAGUUGUUUGGGAAUGCAGCUCAAAAUGGGUGGUAAAUUCCAUCUAAAGCUAAAUAUUGGCGAGAGACCGAUAGCGAACAAGUACCGUGAGGGAAAGAUGAAAAGCACUUUGGAAAGAGAGUGAAACAGUACGUGAAAUUGUUGAAAGGGAAGCGUUUGAAGUCAGUCGCAUCUGUUGGGGUUCAGCCUGGCUUUUGCCUGGUGUAUUUCCUUUCCGAUGGGUCAGCAUCAGUUUCGACCGAGGGAAAAAGACAUUUGGAAUGUGGCUGUCUUCGGGCAGUGUUAUAGCCUUGUGUUGUAUGUCUCGGUUGGGACUGAGGAUUGCAGCGCGCCAUAAAUGGCCGGGGGUCGCUCCUCUCGACACGCGCUUAGGAUGCUGGCAUAAUGGCUUUAAGCGACCCGUCUUG